GGCAGAGAUUACAUCCCAAGGCCGUAAAUAUGAUUUUGAUGAGGUUAGCAGAGGCUGUUGCGGCACGGGGUGGCUUGAAACAUCAUUUAUGUGCAACCCCAGGUCGUUCGUUUGCCCGGAUGCCUCCAAGUACGUAUUUUGGGACUCAAUCCACCCAACUGAGAAAUCAUACGGCCUUGUCUUUCAAGCCCGUCGGCCUACGAUUGAUUACAUUGUCAGUGAUUAAUGCUUCCUUCAUUAUUCCUGCGCUAAUUCAAAUUAUACCUUAAGUAAAUGUCUGUCGACUUAAUUAUAUGAAUUAGAAAAUCGCAUCUGAAAAAAGAGUUCAUCUCAGUUUGGUUAUUCGUCAAAUUCGCAAUAAAGAAACCACUUUUACAUUUCAA